UUGAAACAAAAAUAUUAUUCCAUAUGUGAGGAGAAAAAAAAUAAAAAACAAAUUAUAUAAAUUUAAAAAUUUGAAGCACAUCUUGGCCCAACAAACCCAUCAAUUCCUCGAAGCAUAUCUUGGCCCAACAAACCCAUCAAUUCAAAAGCUUACACCAAAAAUUAGAACUUCGGAUCAUUGACAUUCGGAUCUCAAGAUAUAAUUUUGAAUGUAACCAGACGGGAGAAAGGCAAUUUGCUGGCAAUUUGAGCGAAAACGACUACCAAUGACGGCUAAACCCCUGAAAUUGUGAAUUUGCAUGGAGGACAUAUUUUGAAACCAUUCUACACAUUGCAAUGUUCUCAAACAAAUAAUCCCAAUUUAUUGCAAUUUUUCAGAUAGAACAAACAAUAACUUAAUCUAUGGACCAAGCUGAAGAGAUCACGGGAUUUGAAGCUCUCAAAAUGUUGGCAACACUGACUAUGACCAGCCGUAUUAUCUCUUGAUUUGUAUUUGCUGUUGAUUAAGAAUGGCGAGAGAGUCUCUCACCACUACUAAAGCCUCUAUUUUGUGAGCACCAUUGUUUAAAAAUCAUAUUUUAAGAAGAUUUGGUGGAAAAAUUUCCUCAACAUCAGACAACGCCAAGAAAACGUCCAAGCCGACAGCCCCAUUGGAUGGCCAAAAUGCCAGCAAAUGAAAAAAACAGUUUGAAAUGGCAAGCAAGAAGGCUGGUUGGCAUUCACCUGGCCGUAGAAUCCAUGCAUAUUUAUAGAACGAAAAGAGAAAAAAACGAAAACGUAAACGUAAAUGCCAAAAUGAAAAUUUCAAAAUAAAA